UACGAAGGGGGCUAGCGUUGCUCGGAAUGACUGGGCGUAAAGGGCGCGUAGGCGGAUGGCACAGUCAGAUGUGAAAUUCCCGGGCUUAACCUGGGGGCUGCAUUUGUGACUGGCGGACUCGAGUAUGGCAGAGGGGGGUAGAAUUCCACGUGUAGCAGUGAAAUGCGUAGAGAUGUGGAGGAAUACCGAUGGCGAAGGCAGCCCCCUGGGCCAAUACUGACGCUCAUGCACGAAAGCGUGGGGAGCAAACAGG
rnacentral:rRNA from 1 species